AUUCAAUCACUCAAUGCUCCAAUUACAUAAUCAAUAAUUAAUAAAUCAAUCUUUGAUUUAUUCCACAGAUUCACUUCUCAGUAUUCAGAAACUAUCCAUUACUUUUCAACAACAAAGAAGCAAAGAAACAAAGAGGUAGUACCAAGCUUAUCCUGGCUCAUGACUAUCACAGUCUGGCCCUUAGACUAACUUCUACAACUUAAAUACUUACUCUUUAUUCCCAGAUUCUA
rnacentral:lncRNA from 1 species